rnacentral:rRNA from 1 species
GAUGAACGCUGGCGGCGUGCUAACACAUGCAAGUCGAACGAUGAAAGCGGGAGCUUGCUCCUGCUGGAUUAGUGGCGAACGGGUGAGUAACACGUGAGUAACCUGCCCUUGACUCUGGGAUAAGCGUUGGAAACGACGUCUAAUACCGGAUACGACCUUCGGAGGCAUCUCCUGGGGGUGGAAAGAAUUUCGGUCAAGGAUGGACUCGCGGCCUAUCAGCUAGUUGGUGAGGUAAUGGCUCACCAAGGCGACGACGGGUAGCCGGCCUGAGAGGGUGACCGGCCACACGGGGACUGAGACACGGCCCAGACUCCUACGGGAGGCAGCAGUGGGGAAUAUUGCACAAUGGGCGAAAGCCUGAUGCAGCAACGCCGCGUGAGGGACGACGGCCGUCGGGUUGUAAACCUCUUUUAGUAGGGAAGAAGCGAAAGUGACGGUACCUGCAGAAAAAGCACCGGCUAACUACGUGCCAGCAGCCGCGGUAACAC